rnacentral:rRNA from 1 species
UUAAAUAAAUUCUUUUUAAUUAAUUAAAAUAGGAAGGUAAAAAAAAAGAAUAAAAGUUUAAAUAAAAAAUUAAAACUUAAUCUAAAAAUAAAUUUCUUAAUAAAAAGAACUGAAACAUCUUAGUAUUAAUAAAAAAAAUCUACUUGAUAGUAAUGGCGAAUGAAAUCAAGAUAAACAUAAAAUAAAUUGAGUUAUACAAUCAAUAAAUAUAUCUUACCUAUAAAAAUAGUACUGUGAGGGAAAUUUUUUAAAUAAUUAAAAGAAAUUAUGAACACCAUUUACCUUUUGUAUAAUGGGCUUAUUAGAAAAAAGAUUUGCAAGUUAUAAGACAAAUGAAAAUUAAAAAGUAAAUCUUACCCGAAACUAGACGAUCUAAUUGUGGGCAUCCUAAAAGGGAAAAUUAAUAAAUGUAGAAAAAUUUUUAAAAGACCUGCAAUUAGCAGCGAAAAACUAACCGAGUCUAGAUAUAGCUGGUUUUCCACGAAAAUUAUUUAAGUAAAACUACCUAUAAAGGUAAAACAGACUAUAAGCUCAAAUGUUUAUAGUCAAAAAAUAAAAAAGUUUUAUUAAAAGUUAAUUCGUAAGAUUCCAAAACCUAAGAGUCUAAAAUUAUAAAGACAUUGAAAAAAUAGGCUUAGAACCUGCCAAAUUUGAAAGAUUACGUAAUAGUUUACCCAUUAAAAAAUCUUUGAACAAAAUCUAACCUCUUGGAAGAAUAAACUUUAAAUUAAUAUCGUAGUGGAAUAUUCUAUAAAAAAAAAUAAAAGAAAAAAUAUAAGCAUCAGUAUAAAAAAUUAUAUCUAAUGAUUCUUAUUUUAAUAAAUGAAUAAGGUAAAACAGACUCUCAAAAAAUAAGGAGAAAAAUUCAUAUCACUAGAAAAGAUUUUAAAAAAACUGUACUUACCUAAAUCAAGAAGAUAUAAAGAAAGGGAAUAAUUCUUUAAAAGGAACUCGGCAAAAUUAAUAUCGACUGUUUACCAAAAACAUAGCCCUUGAAAUAAUCAAAGGUGUGACCUGCCCAAUGGCCUUCAAUUUAAGAAAAAUAAAACUUUUCUAAAAAAGCUUAAAGGACGCAGUAUCUUGACUGUGGUAAUGUAGCAUAAUCACUCGCCACUUAAUUGGUGGAUAGUAUGAAUGGUUAAACGAAUAUUGCACUGUCUCUAAAAGAAAUCCCAUGAAAUUAAAAUAAUAGUAAAGAUGCUAUUUAAAGCUGUAAGACGAAAAGACCCUAUAGAGCUUAACUACAUUAUGUGUUUUAAAAAAUUAAAUAUAAACUUAAAAAAAUACACAUCUUGGUAGUUUAGUUGGGGCGACUGUCUUUUAAAAUAAACAAAGACAAGCAAUGUUAAUAAUAAACUUAUUGUAUAAUAUAUAAAUUUAACAAUUAUAAAAAUAGGCUAUAAUGACCCAUUAGAUUUUAAUAACAAAACUAAUGAUUAAUAAAUAAAAGCUACCUUAGGGAUAACAGGAUAAUUUUGUUUUAGAGAUCUAAUCGAAGACAAAGUUUG